CCGGAAGUCGACGGUGGGCUCCGCCCUUCGCCCCCGCGGAGGCAGGCUGGGACCGGCCCACGGCGGUGACACCCUUCGUUCCCUGUUGUCGACAACAUGCUCCAGUUCUUGCUUGGAUUUACUUUUGGCAACCUGGUUGGAAUGUAUCUGGCUCAAAACUAUGACAUACCAAACCUGGCUAAAAAACUUGAAGAAAUUAAAAAGGACUUGGACGCUAAGAAGAAACCCCCUAGUUCAUGAGGCUGACUCCAGCACUGCCUUCUGGAUAUACUGAUUCUACUGUUCUUGAGGGCCUCCUUUGCCAUCUGAACCAAAGCUUUGGUUUUACUCUCCAGCCUCAGCGAUUUUCUUCUUUGCUAAACCCUGCAUUGCCUUGGAGUACAAAUGGCACCAUAAGUUCAGAACUACCCCUGCUUUUCGAGCGUCCUCCCCUCUUCCCUUCCUCCUUCCUGCUGCCUGGGAGGUCCUGGACUGUUAUGAUGGUGCUAGAUGAGUAAACAUGACCUUUAAUUACUAGUCUCUCCCGUAUUCUUUGGGAUUUCUUAUUGCCUUUUUUCAAAAGAAAAAUUGAUGAGUUUUACAUAGCCUAUCAGAAUUAAUAAUGCUAAUUUCACAGUUUAGCAAUUUUAAUGGCUAUUUAAACAUUUGGUACUAAAUUACAUUGUUUCACAGUAAUUAAAAUUAAAAUCUAAAAGCUAGUUUCUGCUGAAUUAUCCAUUUAUUCCAUACUGGUGUCAGGCAGUUUCAUAGUUGCUAAUUUAACCAGUAAAUGAGUUUGCUGGUUAGUAACUGAGAAACUGUAUUUUGAAAACCCUGUCAGGAACUGGGGAGUCAAAAGAAUAUGUAAAAUAAAGGCCUUUGUCCUCAGUAGACUUCAUAGUCUAGUAGGCAUGUUUUCCUUUGAUGAUGUAUUUGAUCUGGCUCUUUUCCCUCAAAGGAAUCAUGCUUACUUAAGGGAUUACAGGUGCAUUUGACAUUACAUGAUGGAAUAAUGACAGGAUGUCUAUAAAGGAAGUUUUAUGCAUUUUCACAUUAAAAAUGUAUUUACAUUAGAACCUUA